UCCGUAGGGUGCAAGCGUUGUCCGGAAUUAUUGGGCGUAAAGAGCUCGUAGGCGGUCUGUCGCGUCGGCUGUGAAAACCCGGAGCUCAACUCCGGGCCUGCAGUCGAUACGGGCAGACUGGAGUUCGGCAGGGGAGACUGGAAUUCCUGGUGUAGCGGUGAAAUGCGUAGAUAUCGGAAGGAACACCAGUGGCGAAAGCGGCUUCCUGGUCCGACACCGACGUUCAGGCACGAAAGCGUGGGGAGCAAACAGG
rnacentral:rRNA from 1 species